CCUACGGGAGGCAGCAGUAGGGAAUAUUGGUCAAUGGGCGGAAGCCUGAACCAGCCAUGCCGCGUGCAGGAAGAAGGCCCUCUGGGUUGUAAACUGCUUUUGACAGGGAACAAGUCGGCCAUGCGUGGCUAAGUGAGUGUACCUGUAGAAUAAGCCACGGCUAACUACGUGCCAGCAGCCGCGGUAAUACGUAGGUGGCAAGCGUUGUCCGGAUUUAUUGGGUUUAAAGGGUGCGUAGGCGGCCAUGUAAGUCAGUUGUGAAAUACCCCGGCUCAACCGGGGGGGUGCGAUUGAUACUGCGUGGCUUGAGUGGCAGCGAGGUUGGCGGAAUUGACGGUGUAGCGGUGAAAUGCAUAGAUAUCGUCAAGAACACCGAUAGCGAAGGCAGCCAACUAGGGGCCAACUGACGCUGAGGCACGAAAGUGCGGGGAUCAAACAGGAUUAGAUACCCUGGUAGUCCGCACAGUAAACGAUGAUCACUCGUGUGNGAUAUANAGCNGCGCCGACGGAACGANAGNGNCNCNGGNGCGCGCGACGAGAGUAAUAGAGUGAGNGNGAGAGNGCGAGACGACGACGAGGAGGAGG
rnacentral:rRNA from 1 species